rnacentral:lncRNA from 1 species
GAUCAACCCAACCAUCAUCAGAUAGUACAAUAGAGUCAUAAUAUGAUGAAUGAUAAUUCCAUCAUUCAGAGAGAACACCAGACAGAUGGUGCCUGUAAUGUCAAUCAAAAAUAAUGGACCCAUUAUCAUUCACCUUAAUGGGAGGCUAUGAUCUAGUUAUCCCCAUAACUAGCUCAUUUUAUGGACCUAAUAAUUUAAAAGAUUUAAGAAUCUGUUUAGAGAAG